rnacentral:rRNA from 1 species
GGGUGAGUAACACGUGGAUAACCUACCUAUAAGACUGGGAUAACUUCGGGAAACCGGAGCUAAUACCGGAUAACAUGUUGAACCGCAUGGUUCAACAGUGAAAGACGGUCUUGCUGUCACUUAUAGAUGGAUCCGCGCCGCAUUAGCUAGUUGGUAAGGUAACGGCUUACCAAGGCAACGAUGCGUAGCCACCUGAGAGGGUGAUCGGCCACACUGGAACUGAGACACGGUCCAG